rnacentral:lncRNA from 1 species
AGAAGUCAGGCCUGGAAGUGGUAUAAGGUUGUAGCAGGAGAGGAAUGAGGAAGGUGGUAGAAGUUGCUCGCGCAGCUCUAUUUCCCCAGCAGCACUGAACUUGUGUUGGCAAGCUGUGAAGGAGUGGCUCCAUGGAACCAUUGAGCCUUGGCAGUCUUAUUCAUACAUCCUUCUGUUCUCACCUUCUCAUUCCUUCUUACUUUAAAAUUAAAAAAAAAAAACAACCCACCACCACCAACAAAAAAACCCUUAAGGAAAUAAUGUGUUUGCUUGUAUAGUUUAGAAGAAUAAAAUAACCACAUUAGCAAGUCUUGUAUUUAUUCCUGGCAUCGUUUUCCCCAUUAGGAAGAAGUAUGUCAUAACUUCUGUAACAGACUGCAAAUGCUUUGGCCAAUGGAUUGAUGUGCCCUGUGAUUUAACAGCUGUCCUGGGAGCAGCAGCCUGCAGCAUCCCCAGCCUCAAACCUGCACAUCCAUCAUGCCCUCCUGGGCAGG